AGUGAACGCUGGCGGCGUGCCUAGUACAUGCAAGUCGCACGGAGUGGCGCGCGGGUGAGGAAUGUAUAGCUAAUCUGCCCUACACUAGAGGGCAACAGUUGGAAACGACUGCUAAUCCUCUAUAGUUUAGGAUGAGGCUAUAUUGUAUCAGCCCGUUGGUGAGGUAAUGGCCAACCAAGGCUAUGACGCAUAACUGGUAGGAGAGGAUGAUCAGUCACACGGGAACUGCGACACGGGCCAGAUUCCCACGGUCGGCAGCAGUAGUGUAUAGGGCGCCAUGGGGGGAAUGCUGCAGAAGCACCGCUGCGUGGAGCAUGCGACUUUUCGGAGCGUAAACUCGUUUUGUUAGGGAAGCGGUAUCUAACGAAUCUGCACAGGCUAAUUCCGUGCCAGCAGCCGCGGUAAUUC
rnacentral:rRNA from 1 species